rnacentral:rRNA from 1 species
CUUACCGGGUCCGGACACACUGAGGAUUGACAGGCAAAAGAUACAAAGUAGUUUUCGGGCUCUUUGCAUUGUAAAAUAUGCGAGUCCUUUCAUGAUUAUGUGAUAGGUGGUGCAUGGCCGUUCUUAGUUCGUGGAGUGAUCUGUCUGCUUAAUUGCGUUUCACAACGAUUUAAAACACUAUGUUUUUGCGUUUGCUGUUCGGUUGUUUCUUUGUAAAUGACUUUGAACGCACGCAGCGUAGUUGAAAAAACAAUCGGAAAGCAACGAACGUGACCGCAACCUCUUGUUGCCUUUAUUUUAUAAAAUGCAUUUAAUCUUUUUUUGUUUCGGCAAAAUAAGGUUUGUUCAUAAUGUGUUGAAAAAGGCUUUAAAACUAGAGGGACCGCUGUUCUAUUUUCUUAAACCAGAGGAAGAUUGCGGCAAUAACAGGUCUGUGAUGCCCUCAGAUGUUCCGGGCUGCACACGUGCUACAAUGAUUGUUGCAGUGAGCAUCUAUUUUCAAAUGCUGCCGUUGUGGAUUUUAUCGUUGAGUUCUGACUUGAGUGGGAUUUCCUUUUUUGAAGCUUUCGGGUGGAUUUAGAGGGUUUCACAAUGGUAGCUCUGAUAAAUUUUCCAUGUAACGGUUUAGCUAAACCUGCUUCGAAAGCAAGUAGGUAAUCAAUUGGAAGUAACGAUUUCCUUUUUAUAGGAAAGCACAACUUCUGGUCCAUUUGGUAUUGCGGAGGUUUCUUAAGCAAUUUUGAAACUUUUUGUCGAUAUUCCUUUUGGAUAUCUGUGCUAAAAACUUUUUAAUUCAAGGUGGGGACAGACCAUUGUUAAUUGUUGGUCUUGUUUUAACUAGGAAUGCCUUGUACGGGUUGGUUCAACAAACCACCCGGAAUACGUCCCUGCCCUUUGUACACACCGCCCGUCGCUCUUACCGAUGGACUUCUCUGUGAGGUUGAGGGACUGGGUCCUUGGACCUAUGGAAACUUAAUCGAACAGGGUGGUCUAAAGGAAAAAAAAGUCGUAACAAGGCAUCGUAGGUGAACY